rnacentral:lncRNA from 1 species
AAAAAUCCAAAAAAUAAACAACGACUGCAAUUUUAACUAUUUUAUUGAAUUACUUUUUCUGAUUUUUAAAGUUUCCAACUUUUGAAACAAUCACUGAACCAUCAAGGGUUAAAAUGAUUUGAGUUUGUUUGGUUUUCAAAAGUUUGGUUCAAGUUUUUGGUUGUUUUUUUAUUGCUGGGCAUCCGUUGUAAUUUCUGCUGGUUCAAAGAAUGGUUCAAAUAUGUUUUCAUUAGUUAUUUCUGGGCUGACUCUACUACUGUUGUUGUUUAAAUUCUUAUUCUCCCUAUCUUUUUCUUCAAUUCC